UACCACUUGCAUCAAAAAAGCUUUUAUUGUCAGUCUAACUUUCCUUCUGGACACAUCUUUUUUUUUUUUUUUUUCCUUUCUUUAUAAUCUCAGAAAAAAUCCCCACUGAAAAGGGAACAGUAUAAAACCUUCUGAAAAAUUAGUAAAAUACUCUAAGAUGAUCCACCUGCUUUAAAGCUGCAGAUAUACUAAUGUUUGUAUAAUCAGCUUUCUGAUGGAAAACUUCAAAGCUUCUGAGCUACCUGCAAAACAGCACUGCCUGUAGUGAUGGGUUGAGGAGAAGGGAAGAGGAUUGACAGAAGAAAAGACAGAUGGCAGCACCUGCUGCACAUCAGUAUAAUGUCUGCAUUGUCUUGGUGGGUGGAAAAAUGAAAGGAAACAUUUCCCAAUGGAGAGAAGAGGUACCAACUCCCCAGGGUUCCCUGGAAGAAGGAUGCUGUCCUUUACAUUUGGGUGGGGUUUCUGCCUUAGGCAUUCAUUUUCCUUUUGAAAGUGAGGGGAGCUGGUGGCAAGGUCUCUUCUGA
rnacentral:lncRNA from 1 species